UAGGGAAUCUUCGGCAAUGGGUGGAACCCUGACCGAGCAACGCCGCGUGAGUGAAGAAGGUUUUCGGAUCGUAAAGCUCUGUUGUUAAGGAAGAACGAGUGUGAGAAUGGAAAGUUCAUACUGUGACGGUACUUAACCAGAAAGGGACGGCUAACUACGUGCCAGCAGCCGCGGUAAUACGUAGGUGGCAAGCGUUGUCCGGAUUUAUUGGGCGUAAAGCGAGCGCAGGCGGUCAAUUAAGUCUGAUGUGAAAGCCCCCGGCUCAACCGGGGAGGGUCAUUGGAAACUGGUUGACUUGAGUGCAGAAGAGGAGAGUGGAAUUCCAUGUGUAGCGGUGAAAUGCGUAGUUAUAUGGAGGAACACCAGUGGCGAAGGCGACUCUCUGGUCUGUAACUGACGCUGAGGCUCGAAAGCGUGGGUAGCAAACAGG
rnacentral:rRNA from 1 species